rnacentral:tRNA from 1 species
GGAGGUAUAGCUCAGUGGUAGAGCACUUGCCUAGAAUAAGCAAGGCACUGGGUUCAAUCUUCCACAUCUCUA